UACGUAGGGUGCAAGCGUUGUCCGGAAUUAUUGGGCGUAAAGAGCUCGUAGGCGGUCUGUCGCGUCGGCUGUGAAAACACGGGGCUCAACUCCGUGCCUGCAGUCGAUACGGGCAGACUAGAGUUCGGUAGGGGAGACUGGAAUUCCUGGUGUAGCGGUGAAAUGCGCAGAUAUCAGGAAGAACACCAACGGCGAAGGCAGCUCGCUGGGACGGAACUGACGCUAAGGCGCGAAAGCGUGGGGAGCGAACAGG
rnacentral:rRNA from 1 species